rnacentral:lncRNA from 1 species
GGUUUUGCAAUUAGCUUUGGAUCGACCAACAGCUUUUGAUUAUUAAUCUCUCUCUGUGACUUUCCAUCCCGUCCCCCUCUCAAUCAAGUCUCCUUCUUCAGAAACAUAUAAAUGGUCUCUAUUUCUUUCAUUUAUAGGGAUCAUAUUUCGAUUUGCUUUAAUCCAAUUCUCUGUAUCUUUUUUUACAUAUCCCUGUAUGCAUCUUGUUGAUGAACUCUCUUCUGGUUUUGUUGACGAAAACAAACAGUUUGAUAGGAGCGUGAUAAUUAUCAGACCGCCUAAUACGGUUUGAUAAUCAACAAAUUGAAUGGAGCUUGAUCGGAUGAUUCAGGCUAAUUUGCGGGCAGAGUUAGUGAUGGGUUUUAAAGGGUAAAUUUCCCCUAGCCGGAGAAUUGUUUCCCAGCCAACGACGCCAUACUGGUGACUAUGGCCAUACUGAUCAGAUUGAUAAACGAAGAAGGGCACCUCAGAUCUGUAUAUCAAUCUGCCGUCAACUUAGAUCUAGACCGUGUUCCCUUCAUUUCCAUAUUCAGUGAUCAAAGAAGGAUACCAAGAUAGCUUUGCGAGACCUUAUGCUGGUGCAAUACCCCAGAUUACCAUCCCCAGGUUUAAGCAACCUCAGCCACCACCAGCAACCACUACAAAAAAAAUGCGACAUCUGAGGUCACCCGACUCUCUUAGGUUGGCGAAGCUGUUGCGGGAGUAACUUGGAGUUGCGGAUAGUUGUACAUAGUGGCAAGUUGAUGGGUAGUACCGGAUCAAUUUGACCAACACAAUGGACCCUUUUUAAAG